rnacentral:rRNA from 1 species
UCCCACCCUUUGUGUACCUACCUCUGUUGCUUUGGCGGGCCGCGGUCCUCCGCGGCCGCCCCCCUCCCCGGGGGGGUGGCCAGCGCCCGCCAGAGGACCAUCAAACUCCAGUCAGUAAACGAUGCAGUCUGAAAAACAUUUAAUAAACUAAAACUUUCAACAACGGAUCUCUUGGUUCUGGCAUCGAUGAAGAACGCAGCGAAAUGCGAUAAGUAAUGUGAAUUGCAGAAUUCAGUGAAUCAUCGAAUCUUUGAACGCACAUUGCGCCCUUUGGUAUUCCGAAGGGCAUGCCUGUUCGAGCGUCAUUACAACCCUCAAGCUCUGCUUGGUAUUGGGCACCGUCCUUUGCGGGCGCGCCUCAAAGACCUCGGCGGUGGCGUCUUGCCUCAAGCGUAGUAGAACAUACAUCUCGCUUCGGAGCGCAGGGCGUCGCCCGCCGGACGAACCUUCUGAACUUUUCUCAAGGUUGACCUCGGAUCAGGUAGGGAUACCCGCUGAACUUAAGCAUAUCAAUAAGCGG